CAACUAGAAAAACAAGGAACUGCCGGGCUGGAGCACUUCAGACUGGAGCACAUCAUUUACAGGAACCCAAGGCAAGAAAGAUCCACACUCUGUUGAGUUCCUGCCUAGAAAAGUCAGUGAUCCCAUCACUGGAGAGGUUUCUUGAUUUAUCUGGAAAUGGCUCAGACUCAGCAGAAGCAGAACAGUGGAAUACAGGACUGGGAUCUUCUCAUACAUCUUUACUUCAACAGAAAAUCCGAGGUCAGAAGCGGAGAAACUAAAGUUAGAUGGGAAGUGUCUUUUAUUUUCAGCAGGCUUUGUGUUUGUCCCUCAGGAACAGAAUUUCAUCAUCAGUUGCUGAUCUAGAGCCUUCGUACUGCUUAUAUUGUUGGUAGGUUGUUCAAUGUUGUUUUUUAUGGGAAGAUAUUGUUCACAUUUUGCUGUGCAGUGCUCUCAUGGUACUUCAUGUCUGCAAUAAUACUUUGAAAUACUUCUCCUGACAGAGGUGACCCUCCUUCCCCACUCAGCCCAGGAAAACCUCCCUUCCCCACUUGUCCUGUCCUUCCCCGCCUUUGCUCCACCCUCUCCCCACCUUUGUGCGACGUGGCCUGGGGGACUAACAAGGUUGGGAGAGGGGCAGUGCCAGCAGCAGGGGGGUGGGCCCUCGCACUCACUGGCAGCGGAGAGGUAAAUGAAGCAAUGCAGCCCCAGCUCGCUCUGCUCCUCUAGCUGCAUCACUUCAUUACUGAUGGUGAAUGCGGGGUGCUCCCUCCCCCAAGCA